rnacentral:lncRNA from 1 species
ACCUGAUGAUGCACUCAUUUUUAUGAUUGAGGAUCAGGAGGCUCUGAGAGGGAAUUGCCACAUGGUAAUAAGCAAGGCAACCAGGAGGCCUCCUCUCAAGGGAAGUAUGGUCACUCAUGGGAAGAACCAACUAUUAAUUAAACCCUCCAGCCAAGGAGGGCUUGGGGAUAGUACUUGGGUAACUGGUAAGGAGCGAUGGAGGUAAGGGCAUUUCUUUUUUGAGGGAUAAUACAAAGUGGCUAAGUCCUGGCAUGAAUGAGUUGACCCAAUGACCACCUGAC